rnacentral:lncRNA from 1 species
AUUAUUAUUUUUUACUUUUCAUUCUAGGCUCUUAUAUAUCUAAUCUGAAGUAUUAAUAAUAUUCUACUUUUUCUGCUUCCAUUCUUUUUUUUCUCUCUCGUCUUUUUUGUUUUAGGCGCAGUCUUUGAUUUCCCUUUGUGUUAUUUAGCUUAAACAGGUUUUUAAAACCUUCAAUUGGUAUCAGAGCUUUAUUUCUUAAGGGACCUGUGUGUGUG